AACGAGCGAAAAGAGAGAGCGACCUACGCAUGGAGAUCUUUUGAGCGAUCGAGACGACACGAAGAGAGAGAGAGGGUCGAAGAGGUGGACGGAGACAUGGCGACGGAGCGAGAGAAGGAGAGGGAAGCGGAGCUCGAGAGCGCUAUGUACACCAAUUGCCUCCUCCUCGGCCUCGAUCCGGCCGUCCUCGGCAUGGGCACCGGCAGCCCCAGGGUGGGGCAUUUUCGCCAUUCCAAUCCAAAGUUGGGAGAGCAGCUACUAUACUUCCUUCUCUGCGCCCUCCGCGGCUCCGCCAAGGAUUUUGAUAAGGUUUGGCCUAUCUUUGAUUCUGCCCAAUCUCGUGACUUCCGAAAGAUCGUGCAAGGGAUUAUUAUUGAGCUAGAGUCGCAAGGGGUGCUGCCGCGGAGUAAUUCUAGGGUUUCAUCUCUCGCAACUUGUUGUGGGCCAAGAUUUGUUGAGCUUCUGUGGCAACUUUCUGUGCAUGCCUUGCGAGAGGUUCAUGUACGAACAUUUGCUGCUGAUGUGGCUUCUAAUCCUCUGCCUCCUGCACUGACAGAUGCUUCUUAUCAACAUGCUGCUGCAUUGCUUCCAGUGACUAAGGCUAGAAUAGCUCUUGAGAGACAGAGAUUUCUGAAAAAUGCAAAUGCUGCUGUUCAUAGACAAACUACUUGGUCAAACUUAGCCCAUGAAAUGACUGCCGAGUUCCGUGGUCUAUGCGCUGAAGAGGCCUAUUUGCAACAAGAGUUGGAAAAACUGCAGGACAUAAGAAGUAAAGUUAAAACGGAAGGUGAAUUGUGUGAUGAUCAUGUCUCCAGUUUUUCUGGGCAGAACUCGCACUUGGUAGCCAAGGCUACUUGCCUUUGGGAGACGUUACUAGCUCGGAGGGAUCAACAUGAGGUUUUAGCUUCUGGCCCAAUUGAGGAUUUGAUAGCCCAUCGUGAGCACAGGUAUCGCAUCUCUGGUUCAUCUUUGGCUGCAACUAUGGGUCUAAGCUCACAGGUUCCACAUUCAGAUGUACUAUCAGUUGCUUCUGGUGAGAUAUCUUCGCCUAUAGAUAUCCGUGAGCAGAUGGAUUCACCUCAUAAUCAAGGAAUAAGUGAGAGUUUCUCGAAGAUGGUUGACAGAGGUGGAAUAGUUUACCCUACAUUUGAUGUUGCCGAAAUUCUUAGACGUUGGACUCAUGCUUUACAACGUAUUCAUAAACAAUCUCUUUAUUUGGUCAAGGCUAACAAUGGAGAGGGCCCAGAGCUCCUUCGUACUUCAUCUGAAAAUGAUGCAAGUGGGCAUGCCGAGUUCUUGGCUACAACUCUUGCAGAACAUCGCCAACAUUUAGUUAGCAUACAGGGACUAAUUAGUCAACUAAAGGAAGCCAUUCCAGCAAUGCAAAAAUCUAUUGCAGAACUCACUGAAGAAGUGGAAACCGUUUCGUCAUCUACAAUGGAUGGGUUUAAUGCCAGAUCAAUAUUAAGUAUGCAGUCCCAAGUGCCUCAAGAUAUUGUUGCUGAUGAAGUCAUCGAGUUAAAUUCCAGACUCUCAUCUCUUCAGCUUGAGAAUGUUUCCAAAAGCCCCGUUCUAAAACUCCCUCAUUUAAUCAGUCUGGCUCCCAAUUCAUCAGCAAAAAGUAUGCACACACCAAAGUUGAGUACUAUAACUGCUCAAUCCAUUCAGAAAUCUUUGCCAGUGGGAACAUCAGCAGAGUCGCAGUUUACAAAUAAUUAUAGAGGUGGUGCAGCAAAAGAAAAUGAUGAUUAUGAUGUUCAGAGUAUUAGGCGUUCUGUUCGUGAAGCAGCACUUACAAGACCAUCAAACAACUCAGAAUUGAUAUUAGAAAGUAGCGAAGAUGACAGUUCUGAACACUUCUUCAUGCCUAUAUCUACUGGAGUUUCGGUAAAAGUGGUAGAUAGUGCUCCUGUUCGGAAAAAACAACAAUUAGCCCUUUCUCCACCAGAUAUUCAUGUUCCCAGCAGUUCUAAAGAUUUUCUCAUUAAUACUGAGGGCCAGCUAGAUUCUGUUCCAAUAUCAAAUAAUUUAUAUGGAAUUGAUGGACACACGAAUCAGACAGGCUUAAUUCAACCAGCCUUUCUUAAUUCAAGAAAAGCAUAUGCAGAUAUUGAUGAUGCUAUGGAUCAAGUCUUCUCACCUCCUUUGCUAAUGGAAUCAUCAUUCUUCCAAGAUGCUUAUGAGGACUUGCUUGCACCACUCUCUGAAACUGAUGCUGCCCUAAUAGAAUAUUAGAGUUUGGGUUUGAGUGCAUACCAAAUGAUCAAACGGAAGCUGCGUAUCUUGUCGCAAUGGCCCAGUGUACUUUCUGGUCCUUGCUCUCGAGGAUCAACAUGUAUCUAUGCGACGGCAUACGUGCCAACUGCAGCAUAUAAAUGCGUGCUUUUACGACACUGAGGCAGCACUCCAUUCAACUAUGCCAGCUCGCUUACUUCACAAACAUAAAUCUUCUUUGAACGAUGUUCAUCUUUGGAGAGCAUCAAAUUUGGGCCUCAUUUUGUGAGCAUCAUACAUGCUGAAAUAUUACUGUCUCUUCUUUGGAGUAUAAAAAAGAAAAGAGGUAUGUGUUUGCAGAUCAUUUACGUUUUCUUCUGUUUCAAUAGCUCAACUGAGAUCCGUUAGCUUAUUGACUGUCACAUUAGACUUCUUGUUCUAAAUAAAAUAGCAAAUCAAAUUAGCUCAUCAAGGUCUUUGUCUGGAAGACUGCAGGUAUGUAUGGCUGUCAACGCUUAGAUACUGCUCUUUCUUUCAACUGCUCUAGAAAAAAGUCAAAACAAAAAAGGGAUAUUAGGUAAAAUAUUAAUUAAGCAUCGUGC